rnacentral:rRNA from 1 species
GACGAACGCUGGCGGCGUGCUUAACACAUGCAAGUCGAACGGGCCUGUCUUCUUUUUUGGGGGUGGGUUGAGUGGCGAACGGGUGAGUAUCACGUGAGUAACCUGCCCUUCGGUCCUGGAUAACCGCUUGAAAGGGCGGCUAAUACGGGGUGGUCCGGUUGGUCCGCAUGGGCUGGUCGGGAUAGAUUCACUGUUUUUGGUGUUUCGGCGGGGGAUGGGCUCGCGGCCUAUCAGCUUGUUGGUGGGGUGAUGGCCUACCAGGGCGGUGACGGGUAGCCGGCCUGAGAGGGUGGGCGGCCACACUGGGACUGGGAUACGGCCCAGACUCCUGCGGGAGGCAGCAGUGGGGGGUAUUGCACAAUGGGCGGAAGCCUGAUGCAGCGACGUCGCGUGAGGGAUGGAGGCCUUCGGGUUGUGAACCUCUGUUUCCGGUGGUGAAGGCCCUGUCCGUGUGGUGGGGUUGACGGUAGCCGGGGAUGAAGCGCCGGCUAACUACGUG